GGAAGGAUCAUUAUCGAAAAGCAAUCCGGGGGGGAGGCCACCGAGCGAAGUUUGGUAGAUCGUAGGGAUUGUCGCUGGCCUUUGGAAACGAAGGCAUGUGCACGUUCCGAGUUCUCCUUAGUCCUCCUUUGCCUUUCCUUUGGAAGACCCUUUCUUCACACCCGUGCACACAUUGUAGGUCUCCGCGAGGGGAUCUAUGUCUUCACAAAACUCUACGUAUGUCCAGGAAUGUAUCUAAAGCGUCGAACGGCUCGGCUCCAUGCCCGGUCGCCGACGGUAAAGAACCAUAAUACAACUUUCAGCAACGGAUCUCUUGGCUCUCGCAUCGAUGAAGAACGCAGCGAAUUGCGAUAAGUAAUGUGAAUUGCAGAUUUUCAGUGAAUCAUCGAAUCUUUGAACGCACCUUGCGCUCCUUGGUAUUCCGAGGAGCAUGCCUGUUCGAGUGUCAUUUAAUUCUCAACCAUCCCUCGAUUCGUUUCGAGGUUUGGCUUGGACUUUGGGGGCUGCCGGCGACCCUCGGGUCUUCGGCUCUCCUUAAAAGCAUUAGCGAUGGCGGCGCGAUCUGACCAUGCAUGAACGGCCUUCGACGUGAUAAUGAUCGUCGUGGCUGGAGUGCUAGCGGGCGUCGUGAAGUCAGCGCUUCUAGAUCGUCGUCGAAAGACGAAACUUUGAAACUUGACCUCGAAUCAGGUAGGACUACCCGCUGAACUUAAGCAUAUCAAUAAGCGGAGGAAAAGAAACUAACAAGGAUUCCCCUAGUAACUGCGAGUGAAGCGGGAUGAGCUCAAAUUUUGAAUCUGGCGGUCUUCAGGCCGUCCGAGUUGUAAUCUAGAGAAGCGUCUUCCGCGCUGGACCGUGUACAAGUCUCCUGGAAGGGAGCGUCGUAGAGGGUGAGAAUCCCGUCUUUGACACGGACCCCCAGUGCUAUGUGAUGCGCUCUCGACGAGUCGAGUUGUUUGGGAAUGCAGCUCAAAUCGGGUGGUAAACUCCAUCUAAAGCUAAAUAUUGGCGAGAGACCGAUAGCGAACAAGUA
rnacentral:rRNA from 1 species